rnacentral:rRNA from 1 species
GACGAACGCUGGCGGCGUGCCUAAUACAUGCAAGUCGAACGCAGUGGGGACGGGUGAGUAACACGUGGGUAACCUCCCAUCAGAGGGGAUAACACUUGGAAACAGGUGCUAAACCGAUACUGAUGGCUCGACCCGCGGGGCAUUAGCUAGUUGGUGAGGUAACGGCUCACAAAGGCCACGAUGGAUAGCCGGGCUGAGAGGGUGAGCGGCGAAACUGGGACUGAGACACGGCGAAGACUCCUAAGGGAGGCAGGAGUAGGGAAUGUGCGGCAAGGGACGAAAGGCUGACCGAGAAACGCCGCGUGAGUGAAGAAGGUUUUCGGAUGGUAAAAGACUGUUGUGAGAGAAGGGGGAGAGAAAGAGAAAGCCACGGCUAACUACGUGCCAGCAGACGCGGUAAUAG